UACGGGAGGCAGCAGUGGGGAAUAUUGCACAAUGGGCGAAAGCCUGAUGCAGCUAUGCCGCGUGUAUGAAGAAGGCCUUAGGGUUGUAAAGUACUUUCAUCGGGGAGGAAAAACAAAACUAAUAAUUUUAUUUCUUGACGUUACCCGAAAAAAAGCACCGGCUAACUCCGUGCCAGCAGCCGCGGUAAUACGGAGGGUGCUAGCGUUAAUCAGAAUUACUGGGCGUAAAAGAGCACGUAGGUGGUUUUUUUAAAGUCAGAUGUGAAAUCCCUGGGCUUAACCUAGGAACUGCAUUUUGAAACUGAAAUACUAGAGUAUCGUAGAGGGAGGUAGAAUUCUAGGUGUAGCGGUGAAAUGCGUAGAUAUCUGGAGGAAUACCUGUGGCGAAAGCGGCCUCCUAAACGAAUACUGACACUGAGGUGCGAAAGCGUGGGGAGCAAACAGGGAUUAGAUACC
rnacentral:rRNA from 1 species